GGGGUUGGCGGGACCCUUCUCUUCCUGGUCCUGCUUGUGGGUGGAGUUGUUGGCUGGUGCCGGUGGAACCACAUGGCUGCCAGGAAGCAGCAGGAAAGGGCCCCCCCGGAUCCCCCAGCCCCCCCAGAGGAGGGGGAGGUGCUGUACACCCAUGUCGUGAGCACCAAGCAGAUGGGGGUGUCCCCCCGUGCCACCACACUCCAGGAUCCCCCAGUGACCUACGCGGAGCUGCG